UACGGAGGAUGCGAGCGUUAUCCGGAUUUAUUGGGUUUAAAGGGUGCGUAGGCGGGCUUUUAAGUCAGCGGUAAAAAUUCGGGGCUCAACCCCGUCCGGCCGUUGAAACUGGGGGCCUUGAGUGGGCGAGAAGAAGGCGGAAUGCGUGGUGUAGCGGUGAAAUGCAUAGAUAUCACGCAGAACCCCGAUUGCGAAGGCAGCUCUCUGGGCCGGCACUGACGCUGAGGCGCGAAAGCUGGGGGAGCGAACAGG
rnacentral:rRNA from 1 species